rnacentral:rRNA from 1 species
ACGAACGCUGGCGGCGUGCUUAACACAUGCAAGUCGAACGGAAAGGCCCUGCUUUUGUGGGGUGCUCGAGUGGCGAACGGGUGAGUAACACGUGAGUAACCUGCCCUUGACUUUGGGAUAACUUCAGGAAACUGGGGCUAAUACCGGAUAGGAGCUCCUGCUGCAUGGUGGGGGUUGGAAAGUUUCGGCGGCUGGGGAUGGACUCGCGGCUUAUCAGCUUGUUGGUGGGGUAGUGGCUUACCAAGGCUUUGACGGGUAGCCGGCCUGAGAGGGUGACCGGCCACAUUGGGACUGAGAUACGGCCCAGACUCCUACGGGAGGCAGCAGUGGGGAAUAUUGCACAAUGGGCGGAAGCCUGAUGCAGCAACGCCGCGUACGGGAUGACGGCCUUCGGGUUGUAAACCGCUUUCGCCUGUGACGAAGCGUGAGUGACGGUAAUGGGUAAAGAAGCACCGGCUAACUACGUG